rnacentral:misc_RNA from 1 species
AACACUGUUAACCUGCGGUACCUGCGGAAGGAUCAUCAUUGAAAACAAAUUUGGACAAGGGGAUUGUGAUUGACGGGGGAGGGGAAGGUUUUAUUUCCUGAGCCUUGAGAGAACAACCUCUUGGACAAACAACCAAUCUUCAUGACUAGGAAAAAACACAGUAAAGUAAACCAGUGGUUUGGGGGGGGGCAUAAACAACAAACAAGUUCUUGUCUGACAAGUAGUGUUUGGUGAUACUGA